rnacentral:rRNA from 1 species
AGAGUUUGAUCAUGGCUCAGGAUGAACGCUGGCGGCGUGCCUAACACAUGCAAGUCGAGCGAUCUUCUUCGGAAGAGAGCGGCGGACGGGUGAGUAACGCGUGGGUAACCUGCCUCAUACACAUGGAUAACAUACCGAAAGGUAUGCUAAUACAAGAUGAUAUAAGAGAUUCGCAUGGAUUUCUUAUCAAAGCUCCGGCGGUAUGAGAUGGACCCGCGUCUGAUUAGCUAGUUGGUAAGGUAACGGCUUACCAAGGCGACGAUCAGUAGCCGACCUGAGAGGGUGAUCGGCCACAUUGGAACUGAGACACGGUCCAAACUCCUACGGGAGGCAGCAGUGGGGAAUAUUGCACAAUGGGCGAAAGCCUGAUGCAGCAACGCCGCGUGAGCGAUGAAGGCCUUCGGGUCGUAAAGCUCUGUCCUCAAGGAAGAUAAUGACGGUACUUGAGGAGGAAGCCCCGGCUAACUACGUGCCAGCAGCCGCGGUAAUACGUAGGGGGCUAGCGUUAUCCGGAUUUACUGGGCGUAAAGGGUGCGUAGGUGGUUUCUUAAGUCAGGAGUGAAAGGCUACGGCUUAACCGUAGUAAGCUCUUGAAACUGGGAAACUUGAGUGCAGGAGAGGAAAGUGGAAUUCCUAGUGUAGCGGUGAAAUGCGUAGAUAUUAGGAGGAACACCAGUAGCGAAGGCGGCUUUCUGGACUGUAACUGACACUGAGGCACGAAAGCGUGGGGAGCAAACAGGAUUAGAUACCCUGGUAGUCCACGCCGUAAACGAUGAGUACUAGGUGUCGGGGGUUACCCCCUCGGUGCCGCAGCUAACGCAUUAAGUACUCCGCCUGGGGAGUACGCUCGCAAGAGUGAAACUCAAAGGAAUUGACGG